CCAGAUCUCUAUCGUUUCCUACGGCAAAGAAAAACCAGCCGUACUGGGUCACGACGCAGCGGCUUAUGCUAAAAACCGCCGUGCCGUUCUGGUUUACUAAGAAAAUCGUAUGAAUAAUAGUAACUUCAGAUGUCAUGUGUU
rnacentral:sRNA from 1 species